rnacentral:rRNA from 1 species
AUUGAACGCUGGCGGCAGGCUUAACACAUGCAAGUCGAACGAGUGGCGGACGGGUGAGUAAUGCCUGGGAAUCUAGCUUAUGGAGGGGGAUAACUACGGGAAACUGUAGCUAAUACCGCGUACCAUAGGAUGAGCCCAGGUGGGAUUGGGUAGUGGGUGAGGUAAAGGCUCCCCAAGCCGACGAUCUCUAGCUGGUCUGAGAGGAUGACCCGCCACACUGGGACGGAGACACGGCCCAGACUCCUACGGGAGGCAGCAGUGGGGAAUAUUGCGCAAUGGGGGCAACCUGACGCAGCCAUGCCGCGUGAAGGAAGAAGGCCUUCGGGUUGUAAAGUUCUUUCGGUAGCGAGGCGUUAACUACAGAAGAAGCACCGGCUAACUCCGUGCCAGCCGCCGCGGUAAUAC